rnacentral:lncRNA from 1 species
UUGUCCAUCUAUGUCAAUGAGUAAACAAAUCACCAACAUCGUUUUUUUGUAUGGUUAUAAAAAAGAAAAGAAAAAAAUAGUAGGCGUUGUUAUAGCAUAUUAAUUAAAAAGAAAAAGAAGAAAAUUGUUGAAAGGUAAAGUGAAGAGUGAGAAGUGACAAUAGUACAUGCACCUGACAGAGGAGAAGGGACAAUAGUGCAUCCACCACCAUCUCCUACACAAAAGAAAC